UCCUAGUUAACCUAGGCAGUCUCAUUAGAGUCCCCGCCAUUACGCGUUGGCAACUAAUGAUAAGGGUUGCGCUCGUUGCGGGACUUAACCCAACACCUCACGGCACGAGCUGACGACAGCCAUGCAGCACCUAUACAAAAGUCCUUGCGGAACACUACAUCUCUGUAGCUUGCCUUUGCAUUUCGAGCCCGGGUAAGGUUCUUCGCGUUGCAUCGAAUUAAACCACAUGCUCCACUGCUUGUGCGGGCCCCCGUCAAUUCUUUUGAGUUUCACCCUUGCGAGCGUACUCCCCAGGCGGUAUACUUAUCGCGUUAGCUUCGACACAGUCAGGGUUGAGCCUAACUACAUCAAGUAUACAUCGUUUACGGCAAGGACUAC
rnacentral:misc_RNA from 1 species